AUUGAACGCUGGCGGCAGGCCUAACACAUGCAAGUCGAACGAGUGGCGGACGGGUGAGUAAUGUCUGGGAAACUGCCCGAUGGAGGGGGAUAACUACUGGAAACGGUAGCUAAUACCGCAUACCAUCGGAUGUGCCCAUAUGGGAUUAGCUAGUAGGUGGGGUAAAGGCUCACCUAGGCGACGAUCCCUAGCUGGUCUGAGAGGAUGACCAGCCACACGGGAACUGAGACACGGUCCAGACUCCGACGGGAGGAAGCAGUGGGGAAUAUUGCACAAUGGGCGCAAGCCUGAUGCAGCCAUGCCGCGUGUAUGAAGAAGGCCUUCGGGUUGUAAAGUACUUUCAGCGGGGAGGCGUUACCCGCAGAAGAAGCACCGGCUAACUCCGUGCCAGCAGCCGCGGUAAUAC
rnacentral:rRNA from 1 species